GUCCACGCCGUAAACGAUGAGAACUAGAUGUCGGGAGGGAUUAGCCUCUCGGUGUCGUAGCUAACGCGCUAAGUUCUCCGCCUUGGGAGUACGGCCGCAAGGUUGAAACUCAAAGGAAUUGACGGGGACCCCGCACAAGCUGUGGAGCAUGUGGUUUAAUUCGAUGCAACGCGAAGAACCUUACCUGGUCUUGACAUCCUCGGAACCCUGCAGCGAUGUGGGGGUGCCUUCGGGAGCCGAGAGACAGGUGCUGCAUGGCUGUCGU
rnacentral:rRNA from 1 species